GUACUUACCUGGUAAGGGAGAUACUGUGAUCAAGAGAGAUAUUCUCCCAGAAUGAGGGUAUCGCAUUAUCCUUCGGGUGUGGUGACGCAUGCAAUGUCCCCAAAUGCAGGAUACUUGACUGCAAAAUUUGUGGUAGUGGGGGACUGUGUUUGCGCUCUCCCCUU